AGUGAACGCUGGCGGUAGGCCUAACACAUGCAAGUCGAACGGCAGCACAGUAAGAGCUUGCUCUUACGGGUGGCGAGUGGCGGACGGGUGAGGAAUACAUCGGAAUCUACUUUUUCGUGGGGGAUAACGUAGGGAAACUUACGCUAAUACCGCAUACGACCUACGGGUGAAAGCAGGGGAUCUUCGGACCUUGCGCGAUUGAAUGAGCCGAUGUCGGAUUAGCUGGUUGGCGGGGUAAAGGCCCACCAAGGCGACGAUCCGUAGCUGGUCUGAGAGGAUGAUCAGCCACACUGGAACUGUGACACGGUCCAGACUCCUACGGGAGGCAGCAGUGGGGAAUAUUGGACAAUGGGCGCAAGCCUGAUCCAGCCAUACCGCGUGGGUGAAGAAGGCCUUCGGGUUGUAAAGCCCUUUUGUUGGGAAAGAAAAGCAGCAGGUUAAUACCCCGCUGUUCUGACGGUACCCAAAGAAUAAGCACCGGCUAACUUCGUG
rnacentral:rRNA from 1 species